GAUGAACGCUGGCGGCGUGCCUAAUACAUGCAAGUCGAGCGAACAGACGAGGAGCUUGCUCCUCUGACGUUAGCGGCGGACGGGUGAGUAACACGUGGAUAACCUACCUAUAAGACUGGGAUAACUUCGGGAAACCGGAGCUAAUACCGGAUAAUAUAUUGAACCGCAUGGUUCAAUAGUGAAAGACGGUUUUGCUGUCACUUAUAGAUUGAUCCGCGCCGCAUUAGCUAGUUGGUAAGGUAACGGCUUACCAAGGCGACGAUGCGUAGCCGACCUGAGAGGGUGAUCGGCCACACUGGAACUGUGACACGGUCCAGACUCCUACGGGAGGCAGCAGUAGGGAAUCUUCCGCAAUGGGCGAAAGCCUGACGGAGCAACGCCGCGUGAGUGAUGAAGGUCUUCGGAUCGUAAAACUCUGUUAUUAGGGAAGAACAAAUGUGUAAGUAACUAUGCACGUCUUGACGGUACCUAAUCAGAAAGCCACGGCUAACUACGUG
rnacentral:rRNA from 1 species